GUAGGGUACGUUGAACAACCCCCCCCCUAAAAACACUUUGUGACAGUUGCUAACAUUUCUUCUAGUGAACCUGCGGAAGGAUCAUUACCGAGUAAGGGUCUUCCAGGCCCGACCUCCAACCCUUUGUUUAACCAACCACGUUGCUUUGGCGGGCCCGCCCUCUGGGGCCGCUGGGGGCUUUACCGCCCCUGGCCCGUGCCCGCCGGUAGCCAUCUUAAAUUCUGAUAACUGUGCCGUCUGAGUAUAGAUA
rnacentral:misc_RNA from 1 species